GUCUUCGUAGGGUAUUGAGCCCACUCCCAUCUCAUCUGAAUGUAUUUUUGGCAUAUUGCAUCUUGGGAAAGUUGGUGGUUCGAAUCCACCCGACGACA